ensembl:lncRNA
UUUUUUUUAUUAAUGUUUGGCCUUCUCUACAGAUUAUUUCACAUAUCUUACAUUGUUUACAAAAUUAAAGGAUAUCUUGCUUCAACAUGUCUCGAAUUAUGCUGCUCUCGGCAACUCAAAGACUUUUACAUUUGAAGAUUUUAAGAAAGAAAUGUCUUGGUCGCACCGGAGUUGUUACAAAGUAAUGUGAUUGUGUAAAAAAAAAGCAACCAAAUAUCCGUAAAACAUCGGUGUCCAGUCAAGUUGUGCUUUUGAAGACGAUGGAAGCGGAGACAACGGAACAUAUUGGAUACUUCGUGCGUCAUUCCUUGUCAAUGUAAACAAACGGUUUAACGAAUUGUUGCGUAUUUUACCGCCAGUGCGCCGCGCGAAUUCUGUGAAAAAAAAAGCGGUUGGAGUAGCCAUUUCGAACUGAAAACUCAAACGAUUCAAUGUUAAAAUGUUAAAGACCUCUUUAUGGUAGUUUUUAAGGGUUAAAGCUACGUGGUAUUCUUACUUCAGAAACACAAAUCCCUUCAAACACCAUAAAAAAGUUGCAGAAAUAAAAUACGCAAGCCAAACGAACACUGGUGAAAAUGCUAGCUUAUAAAUGGGAGGCGGGGUGGGGGAACGAGACACAGGUAAGCCUUUCCAUGCUGCGUGUGUUGAACUGUUUGCAGAGGCAACACCGAGGUACAGCUGGGUUUCGCGAGAAGGAAGGCGGUAUUAAGAUCAUCUAACCUACUUAAAUUCCCUUUGACUUGCUUUUUUCCAGCUUCUUCCUCAGUCAAGUACAGGGCAGAAUCAUGUUUCACACUCAAGUAGCCCUCUCCCCCUUCAAUUGUAAAAUACCAAUUCAUUUAAUCUUAGCUGUAUUAGACUAAAUGAACAUCCUUCCAACAGUGUAUAUUGAGAUGCAAACCAGACCUUUUUGUUCUGCUGUAGAUCAGAAGAAACCCAUCAGAAACAUGCUAUCAACUCCCCAAGCUCCCAAGAAUCGCCAAGCGGUCUAACACGAGCAAGUUGCCACCCUGCGGCAUCGUAAACUCAAAACCCACAACCUCAACAAUGGUCGCCGCAAAAAUAACUCAAUGAAACCCAACCGUAUGAACACAUCCAGUCACCAACCUCCGCCCGCACCGGCUGCACCAGAGUGUUAAUGAGCCAAACCAAAAAUAAGGAAAUUCAAAACCCUGCGUAGUAAAAUGUGCGUGAGAAGCGGAGUCGAAGUGGGUGUGGAGCAUCGACCGUGCCCCGUGGCAACUCAACUAUGGCAAAGAAAUAAACGCUUCUGCUUUUUUCAUAAAUGCUUCAUUUAACAAAACAUUUGCGUCGACGCUGUGAGCAAAGGAUUGUAACUGAUUGUGUAUUUUUUUUAAAAGCAUACAAAACUCACUUCCACUGAGGCAUGGAUGGGGUCGACAAUGGCGCGAAAACCAACAAGCCAUUUUGAAAACCAAGUGCGUUGGAAUGCUGCCCUCUGCGAUGGCACUGAGGGCAGGGUUCGAGGCCCGGGACGCUCUAGCCCGUCAUGAGGAUGGCUCGGGCCUUGUCCAGCGGCAGUAGCGACCGCGGGUGGGAGGCGGCCAAGCGGAGGGGCGGCGGCGGCGGUGGAGACGACCCAGAGUUCAUAGCGGUGGCGGCGGCGGCGGACAUCCCGUCGGGGAGGACCGAGCCGGGCCACGGCCCGGGGUUGGCGUGGUGCGGGCGGUCGCCGGGGUAACGCGGAGGCGGGUCGUAGAGGGGCGUGGCCGAGGCGUUCCGGCCGCACCGGGGCGCCGGGUGCGAGGCGGGCCGGGAGAGCGAGGCCGCGGCGGACGACCAGCCGCGGUGGGGGGGGUCCCGUUCCGGGGGGGCGUGGCCCAGCGUGGCUAGCAGCGAGCCCCAGAGGCACAGCACCGAGGUGGGCACGGGGGCCGGCGCCGGGCGGUCGUCGAGGCUCGUUGCCGGGAAACAGCACGGGGCGGGCGGGCGUCGGGGCGGGCGGCGCGGCGGCGGCGGAGGGGUCCUGCGUCGGGCGAGCUGGGGUCCCAGCGGGGGUGCGUCACGGGAAGGCUGAGGUGGUGGAGGGGCGUCGGUGGCG